GAAAAAAGUGAUGGAAAGUGAAUAAAAGUACAAGGAGAAAAAAAAUAAAAAAUAAAAAAAUAAAAAAAAAUUGAAGAUAAAAGAUUAUUCAUGUUUUAACGUGUGAUAAUUUCAACCCACAUUAAUGUAAAAUUAACAAAAGAAAAAAAAUCAAAUUAACUUUAUUUAACAAAUUUUAAACCUCGGUUAAAUAAUAUAAAUAUAAAAACUAACAUAAAUUUUAAAUAUAAAUAUAAAAAUCAAAUUACUAAUUGCACUUAAUUAUUAUCUCUAC
rnacentral:lncRNA from 1 species